rnacentral:rRNA from 1 species
UACGAAGGGGGCUAGCGUUGCUCGGAAUCACUGGGCGUAAAGGGUGCGUAGGCGGGUCUUUAAGUCAGGGGUGAAAUCCUGGAGCUCAACUCCAGAACUGCCUUUGAUACUGAAGAUCUUGAGUUCGGGAGAGGUGAGUGGAACUGCGAGUGUAGAGGUGAAAUUCGUAGAUAUUCGCAAGAACACCAGUGGCGAAGGCGGCUCACUGGCCCGAUACUGACGCUGAGGCGCGAAAGCUAGGGUAGCAAACGGGG